rnacentral:tRNA from 1 species
GGCGGGAUAGCUCAGUUGGUCAGAGCAGGGGAAUCAUAAUCCCAAGGUCGCUGGUUCAAAUCCAGUUCCCGCUACCA